rnacentral:rRNA from 1 species
GGUGAACGCUGGCGGCGUGCCUAACACAUGCAAGUCGAGCGAACGGACGAGAAGCUUGCGUCUCUGAUGUUAGCGGCGGAGGGGUGAGUAACACGUGGAUAACCUACCUAUAAGACUGGGAUAACUUCGGGAAACCGGAGCUAAUACCGGAUGAUAUUUUGAACCGCAUGGUUCAAAAGUGAAAGACGGUCUUGCUGUCACUUAUAGAUGGAUCCGCGCUGCAUUAGCUAGUUGGUAAGGUAACGGCUUACCAAGGCAACGAUGCAUAGCCGACGUGAGAGAGUGAUCGGCCACACUGGAGCUGAGACACGGUCCAGACUCCUACGAGAGGGAGCAGUAGGGAAUCUUCCGCAAUGGGCGAGAGCCUGACGGAGCAACGCCGCGUGAGUGAUGAAGGUCUUCGGAUCGUAAAACUCUGUUAUUAGGGAAGAACAUAUGUGUAAGUAACUGUGCACAUCUUGACGGUACCUAAUCAGAAAGCCACGGCUAACUACGUG